GACGAACGCUGGCGGCGUGCCUAUACCUGCAAGUCGAGCGGACCAAACCGGAGCUUGCUCUUGUUUGGUUAGCGACGGGCGGGGGAAUAACACGGGGGUAACCUCCCCGUAAGGCCGGAAUAACUCCGGGAAACCGGAGCUAAUACCGGGUAACACCGGCGACCGCGUGGGCUUUGGUUGGAAGGCGGGUUCGGCGGCCACUUACCGGUGGACCCGCGGCGUAGUGGGUAGGUGGUGAGGUAAGGGCUCAGCGAGGCGACGAUGCGUGGCCGGCCGGAGCGGGGGAUCGGCCGCACUGGGACUGAGACACGGCCCAGACGCCUACGGGAGGGAGCAGAAGGGAACCUUACGCAAUGGACGAGAGUAUGACGGAGCGAGGCCGCGUGAGAGACGAAGGUCUUCGGAUCGUAAAGCUCGGUUGUGAGGUGAGAAGCAGCGUCGUUCGAGCCGGGCGGCGCGGUGACGGUACCUAAUGAGAAAGCCCCGGCUAACUACGUG
rnacentral:rRNA from 1 species